GCUGGGCACGGUGCCGUGUGCCUGUAGUCCCAGCUACUUGGGAGGCUGAGGUGGGAGGAUCGCUUGAGCCCAGGAGUUCUAGGCUGUAGUGCGCUAUGCCGAUCAGGUGUCCGCACUAAGUUUGGCAUCAAUAUGGUGACCUCCCAGGAGUGGGGGACCACCAGGAUGCCUAAGGAGGCGUAAACCGGUCCAGGUUGGAAAUGGAGCAGGUCAAAACUCCCGUGCUGAUCAGUAGUGGGAUCGCACCUGUGAAUAGUCACUGCACUCCAGCCUGAGCAACAUAGCAAGACCUCAUCUCU
rnacentral:SRP_RNA from 1 species